rnacentral:rRNA from 1 species
UACGGGGGGUGCGAGCGUUGUCCGGAAUCACUGGGCGUAAAGGGCGCGUAGGCGGUUUGUCGCGUCUGCUGUGAAAGCCCGGGGCUCAACCCCGGGUCUGCAGUGGGUACGGGCAGACUAGAGUGCAGUAGGGGAGACUGGAAUUCCUGGUGUAGCGGUGAAAUGCGCAGAUAUCAGGAGGAACACCGAUGGCGAAGGCAGGUCUCUGGGCUGUAACUGACGCUGAGGAGCGAAAGCAUGGGGAGCGAACAGG